rnacentral:rRNA from 1 species
UACGUAGGGUGCAAGCGUUAUUCGGAAUUACUGGGCGUAAAGCGUGUGCAGACGGUUGUGCAAGACCGAUGUGAAAUCCCCGGGCUUAACCUGGGAAUGGCAUUGGUGACUGCACGGCUAGAGUGUGUCAGAGGGGGGUAGAAUUCCACGUGUAGCAGUGAAAUGCGUAGAGAUGUGGAGGAAUACCGAUGGCGAAGGCAGCCCCCUGGGAUAACACUGACGCUCAUGCACGAAAGCGUGGGGAGCAAACAGG